UUGGUGAGUGUCAGCUGAGAUUUCAGACAUGUGUUGUAAAAUCUUAAACAUGCUACAAGUAUAAGAAGCCUGACUAUUCUCAGGGAGCGGCAACAUUUCAGGACUUCUUGGGUGGAAGAAAGUUGGCAGAGAGAAAGUCCACAGUGACACUGAAAAGUAUAAGGACCUUAGGAGAUGAAAUAACAUAUUCCCUGGGCUAGGAACCUGUUAUUGGAAGAACUGGAGCAGUGGGGCUAACUGCUGGAGAUGAUGGGAGUGUGGCACCAAUCCAUGAGAGCAACUUCUUGCUGAAUUCCUCCUGGUGCUCACUUUAAUCAGAGCAGGCUGUCAUGGCCUUGGACGGUGAACAG